rnacentral:rRNA from 1 species
AUUCCAGCUCCAGUAGCGUAUAUUAAAGUUGUUGCAGUUAAAAAGCUCGCAGUUGGAUUUCUGGCGUGGUGCGCCCGGCCCGAUACCGCUAAGGUGUCGAGUGCCGGCGCGCGCCUGCCAUCCUUCCGGAGAGCGUGCCUACCCUUCACUGGGCCGGGUACGCGAUCUGGAUCGUUUACUUUGAAAAAAUUAGAGUGUUUAAAGCAGGCUUACGCUUCUGAAUACAUUAGCAUGGAAUAAUAAGAUAGGACUUUGGUUCUAUUUUGUUGGUUUCUAGAACUAAAGUAAUGAUUGAUAGGGACAGUUGGGGGUGCUAGUAUUUAACGGCCAGAGGUGAAAUUCUUGGAUUCGUUAAAGACUAACUAAUGCGAAAGCAUUCACCAAGGAUGUCUUCAUUG